CUUGAUUCCGCUAGCAGCUCCCUAAUUUUCGGGCCGAUUCUGCCUCCGUGAUCCUUCUUUCUCUCCCCAGAUCUAGGAAAACAGCGCCACCUCCUUCCUUCUCCCACAAUGACGCUACCCCAAUCCUCAGCCGAACUGCCCCGCGGCACCCUCCCGGGCACUCUCCCCGCCGCCCGCACAACGCCCUCAUCGGCGCGCUCUUCGCCAGAGCAGCCCGGAGCGGCGUGCACUGGAAGCCGGAGCCGGGAAGGAGUGCGGCCACCGCCGGGAGGCAAGGGGAGGCGUGGUCGCGCUCUUUCCGGUCGGCCAUGGAGGCCGCGCGCAAGCCCGCGUUGCGGCAGCGCCCGCUCCCCCUCACCUCUCCGGCCGCACCGGUCUCCUCCCAAAGGACGAAGUGGGCGCAUGUGUGGCGGCCGGAGAGGGAACGAGGCUGCGCGCAAGCCCGCGGCGUGGCGGCGCGGAUCCCUCUUCCCCCUGCCGGUUUGAAAUCCGCACCGUCGCCGGCAAGGUAACUGCUCUCCUCCGGUUAGGCCCUGGCCUGGGCAUGUGCAGCCGGUGCGAGCAAUCACCGAGCCAUCAGUGAUUCGUUGAUACCUAUGAUUCACUCUCUAAUUUGCAUUGGUCAGUAAAAGAUCCUCCUCUAUAAGCGGAGCAGGUUGCUUUGCUUUGUAUCUGAUCUAAUUUGUGCUUUACUUCUUUUUGGGCUGUACUAAUUCUCCAUAUGCUCCAGUUGAGAGAGCAAGAGAAGGUUACUCUACUCCAUUAUCUACUAAUUCCGGCAAUCAAGGUCAAUACAUGUUACAUCAAUCAGGGUCAGUAAUCAGUACUACUAAUUUCAGAGAAGACCUGUAUAGCAGUACUACUCCAUCGGCAAGCGAUCGUUGCUGGAUUUCUUUCACGCCUAUGUGGUGUUGUGCCAUGGUCGCUCUCCCUCCUCCAGGUUUGAUUUUUCAAGUUUCAUGCCUUGUGUUUUAAGAUGUCAUCCCAAAAGUAUUUGUAACAUGAAAAACCAAAGAAAGAGAAGAUUAACACGUGAGUUUAUAAAUUCUCAAAAGGAAGUCAUUGAAGAAAUUUUAGGACAAAUAUAAGGUCUAAUUGGCACUUGAACCGGCAAAGGGCCUCACUUUGUUAUCUUGCACAGGGACUCAGCCAAGUCCGGCCUGGCCAUGCCUCCGUCCUCCCGCCUUGCCGGCUACGUGUGUGUGCUGUCUGUGCUUGAUGCUGCGUGCUUGUUGGCUUGUCACUGGGUGCUUGUUGCUGCUGGCCUGCUGCUGCUGCUGCUUUGCUGUAUAUAUUUGUAUAAUGCUUGCUUUGCAAAGUAGAGAACCUUUUUUUUAGCCUCCACCAAUUUAUUGUUCUCCUUGUGUUGCUUGGAUAAAAUGAAAUGCAUACUAUACUGCUACUCCUACUGAGACUUGUCACAAUUUCUGUAUCCUGUGUUACAAUGAGACUCGCAGUUCACAAUUCAGGUGGAAGGUAAUCAAUUUCCUAAGGAUAAACUUCAUACUUGAAUCUACAUUGUGUAAUGUGUGACAAAUAUGAACGUUGGCAGCGUCUGAUUUGUGCCCUUUUAAAUUUCAAAUGGGGUGAUUCCAAAGAAGCAGAUUAAACUUGCCCUAAGUGCUGUGUUUGGGAGAUCGAGCAUGGCUUACGUAUGCCUUUGCCACAAAAUUCUGUUCUUGGGGCUAAAGAUCUGCCAAGGGCCAUGCUUAGCGAUCAUAUAGAAGAACAACUCUUUAAACGGCUCAAUGAAGAGAGACACGAACGGGCUAUUCAUGAUGGGAAAAGUUUUGAUGAGAUCCUUGUUUCAUGCACGUGCACUUUUUUGGGGUAAUCGGGAGUUUUUUCCGGACUGAAUAAGUAGAGUUAUUGUCAAGCUGAAGGCUGAAAAUGAAGUCAUGAUUCAUAUUUAUCCAAGCACACCUUUACCGCUCAGGAGAAGCAUUUUUUGCACACAGGUGAGCAGCAACAUUGGCUGGUCUGUGCACAAGCCUAAAUUUUGAAAACUAGAAUAAACUCUACUUAGUUGGUUCACUUCCUUCAGGAUGGGGGCAAUCACUGAUCUGUCUUGAGCAUUACUGGACCAAAAUAUAUGUACCACCUAGCAACAGAUUGCUGGUACAAAUAUAUGUACAUACAUUUGGGUGUAUAGCUGGUUGAUGUAUUGUUUUAAUGAGGGUUUGGUUUACGAGUGUGUGCAGUCUGUAUAAGACUAGGAGUAUUGGAUGGUUUUGAGUCGGCACUCGGCAGUAUCUAUUUUGAAUGAAGUUUGUGGUAUGUAUAGGGGUGAUAGAUUGGAUAGGAACUUCUGUUCUAAUAAUUACUAUGGUUCUGGUGAAAUCAUGUUUUGGUUGAAUUAUAUAUUUGGAACUGAUCUUAAUUUUGCUGGAUAAAUCAAUUCCGAAAUCCAAUAAACUUCUAUAAUUUCUAUAAUUUCCAAGAAUAGGAGUAUUGCUGGUUAAUCAAUUGAUUUACAUUAAUAUCUUAAAAGGGGACCGCACGCAUGUCCUGAUGCUAAAUCUUUUUAGAAAGGAAGGGUUUAUGUAAUUUUGGUAGGAUAAAAAAUGUAACCUUAGUAUUACCUAGAGCUAGGAUAUGUGAGUAGAUUAUUUUAAUUUUUGAGCUCAUAUGUGAGAUCAUGAUAAAAUUUGGAAUAUCAUGUUGCUAUAACGGAAUCAGUCAGGAUAGUGAAGUCUGCACCAAAAUGUUGACCACCCUUUUUUGUUUUUUAAGUUACGGAAUUUAAACAAGUCUCUUGGAAAAAUAACUAUCCUAUCCCUUUCUACAAUUUCUAUAUAUUUGUUAGAUAAGGUAAGUAUUGUAUAAUAGUUUGGUUUUCCGUGAUUUUUUUCAUUCCUCUGUGUAAAUAGCCUAAUAUGGGUUCACAGUCAAUAACAUGCUCACCAUCGAGAGUAACGAUGAGUCGAUAUGUACUCCUAAUUCUCUCUUAUAAAAGUGAAGUCCAAAUGCCUACUGGCUGCUUUUAGGUGACUGGAAUUUUGAGCCGCGUCAGUCAACAUGUGCCUGAGAAGUAGGUAAGACGGAGCUAAGGCUGAGAUGGAGGCAACACUGCCUGCCACAACGUCUCCAAGAUGCUGAGCUGGGACCUGGACGGAGGCAGGGACGACACUACUUGUGGUGGCAGUCUCCAAGAUGAAGAUCUAGGACCUAGAUGGAGGCAGGGACGACACAACUUGUCCCGGCGUCGUCAGCGGAGGACAUGCAAUGGGUUGUGGGGUUUGGGUGGAGGUGGGUUAGAGGGAUGACCGGUGGCAGCAACGGCAACUUGGGCAGACCAGGGCGGCGAGGCUGCAGUGCGGGCGUUCGUGUGCCUGGAGGUAGAAGGUUACAGACCGUUGGAUCGUAAUAUGGGAAGGCGGAGGAAAAACUGACUGAAGAAAAAAUCUUUUCGAGCCUGAAAUAGUCGCUCUCAAUUGUAACCAUAGAAGCUUGGCACGUUUGAAGAACCAGAGUUGCCUAUGUGUUAUAGAGGUUUUUCUUGCAACUUUAAGGCCUUUGUUUGCUCUAUCUUGAAGACCUUUGUUCUACAUGUCUUACUAUGGGUUUUGAAGAAAUAGAGUUGUGUGAUCUGACAUGGUGAAA